CUACGGGAGGCAGCAGUGGGGAAUCUUGCGCAAUGGACGAAAGUCUGACGCAGCCAUGCCGCGUGAAUGAUGAAGGUCUUAGGAUUGUAAAGUUCUUUAGCCUGUGACGAUGAUGACGGUAACAGGAGAAUAAGCCCCGGCUAACUUCGUGCCAGCAGCCGCGGUAAUACGAAGGGGGCUAGCGUUGUUCGGAAUUACUGGGCGUAAAGCGCGCGUAGGCGGUUUUACAAGCCAGAGGUGAAAUGCCUGAGCUCAACUUAGGAAUUGCCUUUGGAACUGUAUGGCUUUGAGGACGAGAGAGGUGAGUGGAAUUCCCAGUGUAGAGGUGAAAUUCGUAGAUAUUGGGAAGAACACCGGUGGCGAAGGCGGCUCACUGGCUCGUUACUGACGCUGUAGCGCGAAAGCGUGGGGAUCAAACAGGAUUAGAUACCCCGGUAGC
rnacentral:rRNA from 1 species